GAUGAACGCUGGCGGCGUGCCUAAUACAUGCAAGUCGAGCGAACAGACGAGGAGCUUGCUCCUCUGACGUUAGCGGCGGACGGGUGAGUAACACGUGGAUAACCUACCUAUAAGACUGGGAUAACUUCGGGAAACCGGAGCUAAUACCGGAUAAUAUAUUGAACCGCAUGGUUCAAUAGUGAAAGACGGUUUUGCUGUCACUUAUAGAUGGAUCCGCGCCGCAUUAGCUAGUUGGUAAGGUAACGGCUUACCAAGGCAACGAUGCGCAGCCGACCUGAGAGGGUGAUCGGCCACACUGGAACAGAGACACGGUCCAGACUCCGAAGGGAGGCAGCAGUAGGGAAUCUUCCGCAAAGGGCGAAAGCCUGGCGGAGCAACGCCGCGUGAGUGAUGAAGGUCUUCGGAUCGUAAAACUCUGUUAUUAGGGAAGAACAAAUGUGUAAGUAACUAUGCACGUCUUGACGGUACCUAAUCAGAAAGCCACGGCUAACUACGUG
rnacentral:rRNA from 1 species